CUCUGGUGGAAUUUACUUGAGGCCUCUUCCUCUUUCUGCUGCCGUGGGCCACGGAGUAAUGGAACAGCUCUCCUCCACCAGUUUGCUCGAGAUGAGGUAAAGUGUUUCCUCGGUGUCAAUCUCUGAAAAAAAAGUCUCCCUAAGUGGAGGUGACCGAAGGCCUUUGUGGCUGGGGUUUUGUGGUACAGUCUCUGGAGGCUGAGAGAGUUCUGCCGAAUAUCGUCGAUAAUCCUCAUAGCCACGUCUUUCUGGGUUAGGACGUGCAGGGCCAAGUACCCUUGCCGAUGCUCUUGAGGAGACGGUAGCUGGCGAUGUGGGUCUCCCAAGCAGAGACGGGCAGAGAGGGCCCAUAGCGCGUGGGGUUUCCUGUGGGGUUGGAGGCAAAGUGUCCUGAGGUGAGUCUUUUUUUUUUUUUAAUUUUUAAUGCUUGGUUAUUUAUUUUGAGAGAGAGAUUGCAUGUAUGUAAGCGAGGGAGGAGCAGAGAAAGAGGGAGAGAGAGAAUCCCAAGCAGGUUCCAUGCUGUCCGCACAGGGCCCAAUGCAGGGCUUGGUUCCAGGAAUCGUGAGAUCAUGACCCAAGCCAAAACCAAAAGUCAGAAGCUUAACCCACGGAGCCACCCAGGUACCCCAUGAGGUCAGUUUAAGUUUGGGAAAAUUUGGAGGGAGGUUUGAUCCAAAUAACCUCAAAGAAAACCAGGCCUAAAGUCCAUGUGAAUGUUAAAUCUAUGCCUCACAUGAGCCAAGAUGUCUCAUCUCAUCACCCUGACCUCAGGCUGGAAUCAGUCUUCCUGGUUCUCAGGACUUUGGACUCAGACUGGACUGAAUUACACCACUCGCUCUCCCGGGAUCUCCAGUUUGCAGAUGGCAGAUCGUAGAACUUCUCAGCUUCCCUAAUCACUUGAGCCAAAUCCUUAUUUUACUUAACUGACUGAGCCACCCAGGUGCCCAAAUCCUUAUUUUAUUAAUGUAGUUCCCUGGAGAACCCUGACUAAUACAGGUCAUCUAAUGAAUUUAUUCUAAAACAAUCAGAACAUGAUAACAGUCCAAAAGUAAAUAAAGAAAUAGACACUAACAAACUAAUUUUUUUAAAGAUGAGAAAAAAUAUGAAUCAGGAAAAAAGAAAAAAGGUAAAUAUAAAAGAAAAGAAAGAAAAAUGAAAACAACAAAGAAAAAUGAGAAAAAGAGAAAGAAAAAAAGAUUUAAAAAGAAAAAUAAAAAAUAAAAGGAAGUAAGAAGAAAAUGAAAAAAGAAAAGGUGAGAAAAGGGCUAAUAGAAAACUCAGAAAAUACAAAAUGAGAAAAAUGAAAAAUAAAGAAAAAUGAGGAAAAAAGCAUAAGAAAAUGAAAGAAAAUAAAAGUAGAGCAGGAAGAAGAAGGAAAAAUAAGAAGGAAAAUAGACAAAAUGGUAAAGAGGAAGAAAGCUAACUUUGGUCAAAGUCCCUUAGGUCUCCAAAAACCAGUUUCCUGAGCUAAGAGGACCAAAAGGUAGGGUGCCCUUCUUCUAUGGAAGACAGAAUAUAGGACAUCUUGUGUGAUGGGUGCCCAUGAGCUUAGCAGUGGUUCCACGAGGGUAUGGCCUUCAGAGUAGCCCCACCCUUUCUCUCUACAGAACAAUUCACUCUUGGAAUAUUGUCUUCUCACAUUUCACAUACCAAGUACGCUUCUCCUCCUCCCUAGGUACUCACUCUGUGCCUCUUACAAGUAAAACCCUCAAAAAAGAGUCUCUCUUUUCCGCACGUGACAGGGAAGAUGGCAUUAUUAUCCCCGAGAACUUCUAGCGGAGAAACACUACAGAGAAGGCGCCUCUCACUCCACCUGUCCCUGGUCUGCUUUCUGGAGGAAUUCGAUUGGCCCUGCUAGAGGUCAUGUGACCACCUCCAGGGCUGCUGGCUUUUGUCAAAAGCACAACAUGCUACCAUGGGUCUGCAUGGCUCACAUACUCGCCCAGAGCUACCACUUGUAGGACAGAGAGAAUGAUAGCAUAUCAAGUUUUAAAUUUGAUACACUAUCAGGACAAAAUGGACUAUAUGAGACGACUCUCCUAAAAAAAAAAAAAAUAACGAUGUUGGAAAGAUGUUCAAUAUGGCUCAUUGAUGAUUAUUUAGUAAAAGCUAGCAAAGGCCAAUGAAUGUUUAUGGAUAUUAUUAGUACAUUUUGAUUGUCCUUAAAAAUUUUCAAAUUUAGUGUCUUUCUUUGCAGGCUUGUGGGAGAAUUUCAGCCCCCCAAAAGAUAUUUUUUAAGUGUUGGGAAUUGACCUAAAAAAAUUGUGAUAACAUGACCAUGAUCUAUAAUUUUAUCCAAAAGUGUUAAGUUACCCAGCGCUUUGUAAAUUAUCACACGUAUGCCUACUAUAAACAACCACAACCACCAUUAUUUUUCCAUGUCGCAUAAAAAUGUUUAUGAAAUCACAGAGGACCUUUAGAUAAUAAAAGUAGAAGUGUAAGAGGAUAAAAGUUGGAAAGUUUCAUGUGGGAAGAACUGUAGAUUCUGCAUAUAAAAUAAGUUCAGCUAACACGGUGGCAUUCUGUACGCCCCAAAGGAUAUGGGGAAAAGUUAACUUCGCUUUUAAUCUAUUGGGAACAGUAGUCCACUUGCAAGGAGCAAAUGAGAUGUAAUUUUUUCACCACCAAUAAAGCAGUUUUAAACGUUGUUCAUUUUACUUUAGAUAUUAUAAAGAUAAAAAUCAUUUGGUAAUCCCCCCUCCAAAAAACCUUGAAGACUGUCAUGAAUUCACCAUGUUUGUAGGAUAAUAAACUAUUUCGGGACAUCAGAAGCACAGUAGUUAAAAUGCAAUUCAAAUGAGAUCUACAUUUAAUGUAGAAGAACCAGACCUCCCUUAUCUCUCCUGCCUCUAAUAUCCCUGUUGUGAAAUAUGCAAUAAGGAGGCUCAUUGUGUGUGUGUCUGUAGAGCCAGCCUUCAAAGCCCCAUUGAAGCCACAUGACUUCAGUCACACCUCAUGUAUUUCUUUAAUGAAGAUAAGCACUUUCAAGUUUCUUUAUUCCUUUGCUUCUUUGGAGAUGCCUGGUAUUGUUUUUCCCGCAACAUUUGAGUUACGAUGCUGUCUUUUGUGCUAAUAGACCGAACUAUGGCUUACAGUUAUUUUGAUCCCGUUCGUGCAUUUACUCCCGGCUCUCAGGGGAAGGAGUUACAUUUACAAGAGAACGCUCAAGUCUUGUGCGAAGGAACUGCAUGGAGGUUCAAAUCAGCUAUAAAUAAUGAUCAUGGGUUUUAUUUUAACGCCUACUAUGUGCCAGGUCUUCUGCAUAAAUAUAACAUAUGCGGUCCUUCCCCAAACCCUGAAUUCAGUAUAUGAUCACAAUUAACAUAAUUAUACUAUUACUUUCUGUAGGUGGAGGCCGAUUCAGGGGGGUCAUCAAAUAGCGGAGUGGGGCUCAUCCUCGUAGGUCUAUGUGAGAACAGUUAGUGGCAUUCUUAGCAGAUCUCCGAGGAUCCAAGUAUAAUGGUGAAAGCGACAAGAUGCUCUGAGACCACCAAGGAGCUCUAGCAGUUUUUGAUUCUAUAAAGAGAAACGUCUACACCAGAGUGGCAAUCACAGCCCAGGGGUGACAGCCGCGUUUCAGACCAGGAGUGGGCUGUUGGAAAAACACUCCCAUUCACAACGUCCGAUUCCUUCAUGGGGUCCCUGCCCCCGCCAUUUUAUCCUCUAAUCUGCAGCCAAAUUUGUCAUCCUAAAAAUGCAAAUCUGGUUACAUAAUUUCCUGGCUUAAAAUCCUCUACCUAAACAUUAAAAUGGGACUCGAGACUUUUAAAUUGCUUACAAGCGACUUCAAGCUAUGGUCGCCCUCUGCUUAGCUCUCCAGCGUCACCUUGUACGGAUGCCAGGCUCCACAUCAGAGAUUAAGCUCGACCUGCUCGUGAACGCGUUGGUUCCUGUAAUUUACCACGCUUUCUCUCCACACAGGCCUUGAAUGUGCUGUUCCUCCCGGCCUAGCACAGUUCUUGCCCCCGCCAAACCUCCUCCCCAACUCCGCUCGGUAAGCAGCUACUGGCUUGGCUUGGUGGCUCUGUGUGACCUCAAGACUUGGGGAGGCACACCUCCUAGAUGUUCCCCACAGGCUCAGUACCCCUCCCAGCAGAGAGCUCAUCUUUCAUUUGUGACUCUGUGUGCCCAUGAACUCCAGGCUCUGGCCACGCAGGACCCAGGCUUAUUCUUCUCAUCACUGUGCUCCCAACGUCUGGCACAGAGCUUGACGCAUAGUAGGUGCUCCACAGGGCCUGAAAUUUUACACCUGCACACACACAUUCUCUCUCUCUCUCCCUCUCUCCACUUAUCAUAGACAUACAAGAUAUUUCCUUUAUUUUAAUUUUUUUAAUGUUUAUUCAUUAUUUUUGAGAGACAGACACAGAGCAUGAGUGGGGGAGGGGCAGAGAGAGAGGGAGACACGACAUACAAGAUAUUUUCAACGUCAUGAUCCCUCAUCCUUCAGCUUUUGUAUAGGAGAACGCUGUGAUCCAGAUAUCUUAAAUAAUUUGCCUUAGUUCAUGUAUUUUAUUAGUGCUUAAGAAGUGUAAGUCUCGGUCUACAGAUAUGGAGGUACAAAAAAAAUCGUUGUUUUAUCUUGUAAAAGUUAAUUUAUUAUCACCUUCGGUCUCAAUUCCCCUGCGAUGGCAGGGCCAUUGGAAUCAGGGGUCCCACGGGCUCUCCCCAUAAGGUUGUUGCAACGUCCUUGGAGUCUUAAUGUGUUAUUUUCAAAUGGCGCGUUCAGGUUUCUCAUUAUCCCGUUCUCCAUGGGUCCUUCAAGCCAGCCAGCUUUGUAGAUUCCAUGCUAUCCUUGGCUAUGGUUUCUUUCCCUUCUGAGGCUUGGCCACCUCCUUGGAGUACUGGCGCACAGCAUCAGAUAACAACUGAUCUCUCCUCCAUCCACUUGCAAUAUCGACCCGACAAAAAUCUCUUUUUUAAUAUUGGGAAAAUCCUUCAUUCUCUUUUCAUAUGGCUCACAGAGGAAUUAUGUCUUCUCACUGUCUUCUUUCAAGGCAUUUAAAACGUUGAGCCACAAAAGCCAAGAAGGGAAUGGAAUUAUAGACAAUUUUAGCUUUCUACUGUGAUUGGUUGGAACACUUCUGGUCAAGUGAACAGACAUCUGACUCAUCCUGCCUUAUGCACAAAGAGAAAUAAAUUGUAUUACAACCCGGAGAAAACCAAGGUGGGUGCUGGCUUCCAGCAGAUUCAGAUUAUGCUGCCGGGGUCUGGUUUUCCUCUCUCCGGGUUUUGGCUCUACUGUCUUCUGCUUGAUCUCUUGUCUGGCUGAUUUUCUAUUCAGCGUCUCUGGUUAACCCUACCGUUUUAGCUUCACUAAGCUUCCACUAAGGAAGAGAAUGAAGAUCUCUUUCCCAGAAGGACCAGAAAAAUACAUUGCUGCACCCACCUGACUUUGAUUAGAUGAUAUUUUUCUCUCCUGAACUCAACAGUAAAAGCAAUAUGAUGUUCUGAACAACUCAAACCAAGGUCCCAUACUUUAUACUGAGCUAGGGAUGGGCCUUCCCUGAAAGUAUAUGGACUGAGGGUAGGAAGAACAAUUUCCUGAGGGUAUAAGGCCGUGAUUACGGAAAAAUGCGGGAAAUUAAUCUGGGAAGCAUACAAAAAAAUGUACCUUUCUUACAGAUAGUUUCAGAACUUAGGAGCCAACAAUUUCUCCCCUCCCUGUGUGUCCAUGGCAUUCAUUAUGAGGAAGUGGAAUCCGUUCUCGCGUGCACACACACACACACACACACACACACGCUCAUCUUGAGUCAGGCUGGCCUUGCCCGGUAGAAUGCGACUUGUCUUGCCUAGUAAAUGCAACAGAGGUAGCACUCUGCCAUUUCAGGGACUUUAUAAGCCUGGAAACUCGGACAUUUGCUCUCUUGGAUCUUUGAACCUCCAGGUUAAAAGUCCAGGAUGCCCUGAUAGAGAGAGGGACCAUGUGGAAUUCAACCAGGCGGAGAGAGAGAAUGAGGUGUCUCAGCCUAUGACCAGCACCAAAGCCCCAGACAUGUAAAGGGAACCAUCUUGGUCUUCCCCACUCAAUAUACUUAUCAAGUGCUGUCUUACUGAUGACUCCAGCCAGCACCACACGGAGGAAGAAGCACCCAGCCAAUCAGUCAUGAGAAAUAAUCAUUGUAGUGUUAGGCCACUACGUUUUCAUUGCUUACACAUCAAAAAAAAAAAAAAAAAAAAAGAAAUAAUAUCACUGAUGUCUCUUUUUCACCCGCUGCAGGAAAAUUCCACUGAGCAAAAGCACAGAGUUUGUGACCUGCCUGAAGGAGAAGGUCCAAGGGCUGGGACAUCCAUCCACCUCCCAAAGGGAAGCACUCUGACCUCUGGCUUCUAAUUCGAGGCUCUUUUCCUUAUGAUUCCUGCCACCCUUAGGAAUAUUCCCUACUGUUUCCUACUGUUGGGACAGGCACGUUCACACUGUUGGUAAGUGUGAAUUGGAGUGGCCAAAAGGUGCAUGAACCAUUUCGAUUC
rnacentral:lncRNA from 1 species